AGUGAACGCUGGCGAUAGGCCUAACACAUGCAAGUCGAACGGCAGCACAGUAAGAGCUUGCUCUUACGGGUGGCGAGUGGCGGACGGGUGAGGAAUACAUCGGAAUCUACUUUUUCGUGGGGGAUAACGUAGGGAAACUUACGCUAAUACCGCAUACGACCUACGGGUGAAAGCAGGGGAUCUUCGGACCUUGCGCGAUUGAAUGAGCCGAUGUCGGAUUAGCUAGUUGGCGGGGUAAAGGCCCACCAAGGCGACGAUCCGUAGCUGGUCUGAGAGGAUGAUCAGCCACACUGGAACUGAGACACGGUCCAGACUCCUACGGGAGGCAGCAGUGGGGAAUAUUGGACAAUGGGCGCAAGCCUGAUCCAGCCAUACCGCGUGGGUGAAGAAGGCCUUUGGGUUGUAAAGCCCUUUUGUUGGGAAAGAAAAGCAGCAGGUUAAUACCCCGCUGUUCUGACGGUACCCAAAGAAUAAGCACCGGCUAACUUCGUG
rnacentral:rRNA from 1 species